UGGGGAAUAUUGCACAAUGGGCGCAAGCCUGAUGCAGCGACCCCGCGUGCGGGAUGACGGCCUUCGGGUUGUAAACCGCUUUUGAUCGGGAGCAAGCCUUCGGGUGAGUGUACCUUUCGAAUAAGCACCGGCUAACUACGUGCCAGCAGCCGCGGUAAUACGUAGGGUGCAAGCGUUAUCCGGAAUUAUUGGGCGUAAAGGGCUCGUAGGCGGUUCGUCGCGUCCGGUGUGAAAGUCCAUCGCUUAACGGUGGAUCUGCGCCGGGUACGGGCGGGCUGGAGUGCGGUAGGGGAGACUGGAAUUCCCGGUGUAACGGUGGAAUGUGUAGAUAUCGGGAAGAACACCAAUGGCGAAGGCAGGUCUCUGGGCCGUUACUGACGCUGAGGAGCGAAAGCGUGGGGAGCGAACAGGAUUAGAUACCCUGGUAGUCCACGCCGUAAACGGUGGAUGCUGGAUGUGGGGCCCGUUCCACGGGUUCCGUGUCGGAGCUAACGCGUUAAGCAUCCCGCCUGGGGAGUACGGCCGCAAGGCUAAAACUCAAAGAAAUUGACGGGGGCCCGCACAAGCGGCGGAGCAUGCGGAUUAAUUCGAUGCAACGCGAAGAACCUUACCUGGGCUUGACAUGUUCCCGACAGCCGUAGAGAUAUGGCCUCCCUUCGGGGCGGGUUCACAGGUGGUGCAUGGUCGUCGUCAGCUCGUGUCGUGAGAUGUUGGGUUAAGUCCCGCAACGAGCGCAACCCUCGCCCUGUGUUGCCAGCACGUCAUGGUGGGAACUCACGGGGGACCGCCGGGGUCAACUCGGAGGAAGGUGGGGAUGACGUCAGAUCAUCAUGCCCCUUACGUCCAGGGCUUCACGCAUGCUACAAUGGCCGGUACAACGGGAUGCGACACGGCGACGUGGAGCGGAUCCCUGAAAACCGGUCUCAGUUCGGAUUGGAGUCUGCAACCCGACUCCAUGAAGGCGGAGUCGCUAGUAAUCGCGGAUCAGCAACGCCGCGGUGAAUGCGUUCCC
rnacentral:rRNA from 1 species